rnacentral:rRNA from 1 species
ACGCUAGCUAUAGGCUUAACACAUGCAAGUCGAGGGGAAACGGCAUUAUGUGCUUGCACAUUUUGGACGUCGACCGGCGCACGGGUGAGUAUCGCGUAUCCAACCUGCCCUUUACUUGGGGAUACCCCGUUGAAAGACGGCCUAAUACCCGAUGUAAUUCAUUGAUGGCAUCAGAUAUGAAUAAAAGAUUUAUCGGUAAAGGAUGGGGAUGCGUCUGAUUAGCUUGUUGGUGAGGUAAAGGCUCACCAAGGCAACGAUCAGUAGGGGUUCUGAGAGGAAGGUCCCCCACAUUGGAACUGAGACACGGUCCAAACUCCUACGGGAGGCAGCAGUGAGGAAUAUUGGUCAAUGGGCGCAAGCCUGAACCAGCCAAGUAGCGUGCAGGAAGACGGCCCUAUGGGUUGUAAACUGCUUUUAUACGAGAAUAAUUUGAUGCACGUGUGCGUUAUUGCAUGUAUCGUAUGAAUAAGGACCGGCUAAUUCCGUGCCAGCAGCCGCGGUAAUACGGAAGGUCCAGGCGUUAUCCGGAUUUAUUGGGUUUAAAGGGAGUGUAGGCGGCUUGUUAAGCGUGUUGUGAAAUUUAGGUGCUCAACAUUUAACUUGCAGCGCGAACUGUCAGACUUGAGUACACGCAACGUAUGCGGAAUUCAUGGUGUAGCGGUGAAAUGCUUAGAUAUCAUGAAGAACUCCGAUUGCGAAGGCAGCAUACGGGAGUGUAACUGACGCUUAAGCUCGAAGGUGCGGGUAUCGAACAGGAUUAGAUACCCUGGUAGUCCGCACAGUAAACGAUGGAUGCCCGCUGUUAGCGCCUGGCGUUAGCGGCUAAGCGAAAGCAUUAAGCAUCCCACCUGGGGAGUACGCCGGCAACGGUGAAACUCAAAGGAAUUGACGGGGGCCCGCACAAGCGGAGGAACAUGUG